rnacentral:rRNA from 1 species
CUGGCAAUGGUUUGGCAGUGAGCGAUUCUUAUUAGGGGAAUAUGCAUAGUGAAGGAUGGUCCACCUAUUAGUUUACUCUUUUUAUGUUGGUGUAUGUCUGGUUUGAUAUUAUUGUUGAAUAAUUUAAGUUUGUGUAGUUUUAGUUAAGCUAAGUCUAUGUGCUGCUUAUGGGAGUUUUUGUGUGUUACAUUAAUAAGGGUGUUAUUGUAAGAUGAUGUGAUUUAGA